AUUGAACGCUGGCGGCAUGCUUUACACAUGCAAGUCGAACGGUAACAGGGAGCUUGCUCCGCUGACGAGUGGCGAACGGGUGAGUAAUGUAUCGGAACGUACCAUUCAGUGGGGGAUAACGUAGCGAAAGUUACGCUAAUACCGCAUAUUCUGUGAGCAGGAAAGCAGGGGAUCGCAAGACCUUGCGCUGAUUGAGCGGCCGAUAUCAGAUUAGCUAGUUGGUGAGGUAAAGGCUCACCAAGGCGACGAUCUGUAGCGGGUCUGAGAGGAUGAUCCGCCACACUGGAACUGAGACACGGUCCAGACUCCUACGGGAGGCAGCAGUGGGGAAUUUUGGACAAUGGGGGCAACCCUGAUCCAGCCAUGCCGCGUGAGUGAAGAAGGCCUUCGGGUUGUAAAGCUCUUUCGGCCGGGAAGAAAUCGCAUCAGUUAAUACCUGGUGUGGAUGACGGUAC
rnacentral:rRNA from 1 species